rnacentral:rRNA from 1 species
AACUCCCAACCCCUGUGACAUACCACUUGUUGCCUCGGCGGAUCAGCCCGCUCCCGGUAAAACGGGACGGCCCGCCAGAGGACCCCUAAACUCUGUUUCUAUAUGUAACUUCUGAGUAAAACCAUAAAUAAAUCAAAACUUUCAACAACGGAUCUCUUGGUUCUGGCAUCGAUGAAGAACGCAGCAAAAUGCGAUAAGUAAUGUGAAUUGCAGAAUUCAGUGAAUCAUCGAAUCUUUGAACGCACAUUGCGCCCGCCAGUAUUCUGGCGGGCAUGCCUGUUCGAGCGUCAUUUCAACCCUCAAGCACAGCUUGGUGUUGGGACUCGCGUUAAUUCGCGUUCCCCAAAUUGAUUGGCGGUCACGUCGAGCUUCCAUAGCGUAGUAGUAAAACCCUCGUUACUGGUAAUCGUCGCGGCCACGCCGUUAAACCCCAACUUCUGAAUGUUGACCUCGGAUCAGGUAGGAAUACCCGCUGAACUUAAGCAUAUCAAUAAGCGGGGGAAA